CUUUUUACGUCUCCGCCAUUUGCACAGAUGUUGCAAGAAAAAGGACGUAGCUUCUACCAACUUUUUCAAGUUUAUUUUUGAUAAUAGGUGGGGACUUUAAAGCAUAAUUAUUACCCAAGCUGAAGAAGAAUAUUUGCAAGCAUGGAAUGGACUACAUAAUCCGAAAGGACCAGAUAAUAUAGUUUUGGGGUCAGGACAGGUGGAUCAUUGAUACAUGUGCCUAGGUAACCAUAUGAGUGAAAUUUGUGCAGAAUAGCUACAGACGAUGAAGAUCAGAUGUGAAGAGAUGCAUGUCUUUGUUCUACAUGGUGUAUGAGUGAAACAUGUGUAUGGCAGUCAUAGAAAACAUUUAAAAAGUGGGGACUUUAAAGCAUAAUUAUUACCCAAGCUGAAGAAGAAUAUUUGCAAGCAUGGAAUGGACUACAUAAUCCGAAAGGACCAGAUAAUAUAGUUUUGGGGUCAGGACAGGUGGAUCAUUGAUACAUGUGCCUAGGUAACCAUAUGAGUGAAAUUUGUGCAGAAUAGCUACAGACGAUGAAGAUCAGAUGUGAAGAGAUGCAUGUCUUUGUUCUACAUGGUGUAUGAGUGAAACAUGUGUAUGGCAGUCAUAGAAAACAUUUAAAAAGUGGGGACUUUAAAGCAUAAUUAUUACCCAAGCUGAAGAAGAAUAUUUGCAAGCAUGGAAUGGACUACAUAAUCCGAAAGGACCAGAUAAUAUAGUUUUGGGGUCAGGACAGGUGGAUCAUUGAUACAUGUGCCUAGGUAACCAUAUGAGUGAAAUUUGUGCAGAAUAGCUACAGACGAUGAAGAUCAGAUGUGAAGAGAUGCAUGUCUUUGUUCUACAUGGUGUAUGAGUGAAACAUGUGUAUGGCAGUCAUAGAAAACAUUUAAAAAGUGGGGACUUUAAAGCAUAAUUAUUACCCAAGCUGAAGAAGAAUAUUUGCAAGCAUGGAAUGGACUACAUAAUCCGAAAGGACCAGAUAAUAUAGUUUUGGGGUCAGGACAGGUGGAUCAUUGAUACAUGUGCCUAGGUAACCAUAUGAGUGAAAUUUGUGCAGAAUAGCUACAGACGAUGAAGAUCAGAUGUGAAGAGAUGCAUGUCUUUGUUCUACAUGGUGUAUGAGUGAAACAUGUGUAUGGCAGUCAUAGAAAACAUUUAAAAAUAUGAAGGUAUGCUCCACUUUUGCACUGAACGAGGCUAUUUACUUGGAUAGGGAGAUGUGCCCAGUCUGUUAUGUGUUCUUGUUAUGCCAGGUAGCAUGGGCUUUAGUGGAAUCUUUUCCAUAGAAGAAAUCUGUGAGAUAGAUCUUGCUGCAGCAUGCUAUUGACAAACCAAGAAGCUCAGAUUGUUGUGUGCACACUAGUUAGACUUGUUUAUGGCUUUGAAUGGAUUGUCAUAGAAACAGGGAAAGGAUUAUACCAGCUUAAGACUGAGAACCAAAUACCAUUGUUGUAGGUGUCACACCAGUAGACUCAUGCAUAGAUGAACGAUAAGCCAUCCAGCAGAAAG
rnacentral:lncRNA from 1 species